AUUGAACGCUGGCGGCAGGCCUAACACAUGCAAGUCGAGCGGAGCGGCGGACGGGUGAGUAAUGCCUAGGAAUCUGCCUGGUAGUGGGGGAUAACGUCCGGAAACGGGCGCUAAUACCGCAUACUCUCAGAUGAGCCCAGGUCGGAUUAGCUAGUGGGUUGGGUAAAGGCCUACCACGGCGACGAUCCGUAACUGGUCUGAGAGGAUGAUCAGCCACACUGGAACUGAGACACGGUCCAGACUCCUACGGGAGGCAGCAGUGGGGAAUAUUGGACAAUGGGCGAAAGCCUGAUCCAGCCAUGCCGCGUGUGUGAAGAAGGUCUUCGGAUUGUAAAGCACUUUAAGUUGGGAGGCGUUACCAACAGAAGAAGCACCGGCUAACUUCGUGCCAGCAGCCGCGGUAAUUC
rnacentral:rRNA from 1 species